rnacentral:rRNA from 1 species
AACUCCGAUUGCGCAGGCAGCUUACUAAGCCAUAACUGACGCUCAGGCACGAAGGCGUGGGGAUCAAACAGGAUUAGAUACCCUGGUAGUCCACGCAGUAAACGAUGAUUACUCGCUGUUUGCGAUAUACAGUAAGCGGCUUAGCGAAAGCGUUAAGUAAUCCACCUGGGGAGUACGUUCGCAAGAAUGAAACUCAAAGGAAUUGACGGGGGCCCGCACAAGCGGAGGAACAUGUGGGUUUAAUUCGAUGAUACGCGAGGAACCUUACCCGGGCUUGAAAUGCAUCUGACAGGGGCGGAGACGCCCUCUUCCUUCGGGACAGAUGUGUAGGUGCUGCAUGGUUGUCGUCAGCUCGUGCCGUGAGGUGUCGGCUUAAGUGCCAUAACGAGCGCAACCCUCAUCAUUAGUUACCAUCAGGUCAAGCUGGGGACUCUAGUGAGACUGCCAUCGUAAGAUGCGAGGAAGGUGGGGAUGACGUCAAAUCAGCACGGCCCUUACGUCCGGGGCGACACACGUGUUACAAUGGGUGGUACAAAGGGCAGCUACAUGGCGACAUGAUGCUAAUCUCCAAAACCACUCUCAGUUCGGAUCGGAGUCUGCAACUCGACUCCGUGAAGCUGGAUUCGCUAGUAAUCGCGCAUCAGCCACGGCGCGGUGAAUACGUUCCCGGGCCUUGUACACACCGCCCGUCAAGCCAUGGAAGCCGGGGGUACCUGAAGUCCGUAACCGUCAAGGAGCGGCCUAGGGUAAAACUGGUGACUGGG